rnacentral:rRNA from 1 species
UACGGGGGGGGCAAGCGUUGUUCGGAAUUACUGGGCGUAAAGGGCUCGUAGGCGGCCAACUAAGUCAGACGUGAAAUCCCUCGGCUUAACCGGGGAACUGCGUCUGAUACUGGAUGGCUUGAGAUUGGGAGAGGGAUGCGGAAUUCCAGGUGUAGCGGUGAAAUGCGUAGAUAUCUGGAGGAACACCGGUGGCGAAGGCGGCAUCCUGGACCGACACUGACGCUGAAAAGCGAAAGCCAGGGGAGCAAACGGG